AUCGCUUCUUGGCCUUUUGGCUAAGAUCAAGGGUAGUAUUUGUGUUUGAAAGUUGCUAAGAAAGAUCUUUUUUGUUCUCACGGCUGGAAAGAAUGUCUUCUGUAUGGUGAUGCUAACGAGACCAGUGGUGCCACAUUAUACACAAAUAUGGGAUCACACUGUACCCCU
rfam:Canis lupus familiaris chromosome 25, whole genome shotgun sequence.